UGGUUAAAAAGCUCGUAGUUGGAUCUCGGCGGUCUGAGGGCGGUUCGCUUGAUUGAGUGCUACUGCUCUAUAGGCCGUGGUUUUGCCAGAGGUCUCGGGGUGCUCUUAACCGAGUGUCCUGCGAUGCUGGCAGGUUUACUUUGAAAAAAUUAGAGUGCUCAAAGCAGGCUUUUACGCCUGAAUAUUCGUGCAUGGAAUAAUAGAAUAGGAAGUCGUUUCUAUUUUGUUGGUUUUCGGAAAUCGACUUAAUGAUUAAUAGGGACAGUCGGGGGCAUUUGUAUUCAAACGACAGAGGUGAAAUUCUUGGACCGUUUGAAGACAAACUACUGCGAAAGCAUUUGCCAAGAAUGUUUUCAUUAAUCAAGAACGAAAGUUAGAGGUUCGAAGGCGAUUAGAUACCGCCCUAGUUCUAACCAUAAACGAUGCCAGCUAGCGAUCUGCCGACGUUUUCUUUGUAGACUCGGCGGGAAGCUUCCGGGAAACCAAAGCAUUUGGGUUCCAGGGGAAGUAUGGUUGCAAAGCUGAAACUUAAAGGAAUUGACGGAAGGGCACCACCAGGAGUGGAGCCUGUGGCUUAAUUUGACUCAACACGGGAAAUCUCACCAGGCCCGGGACACUGGAAGGAUUGACAGAUUGAUAGCU
rnacentral:rRNA from 1 species